rnacentral:lncRNA from 1 species
AUGAGUCAAUAAUGUCAAAUAAGCCUCUGCAAGGGAAAUACACAAUAUAUAUUAUAAUAAGACAACAACAAAAAAAAUAAGCCUCCAUAAGUGCAUCACACAAUAUAUAAUAACUCGUAAAUUAUAUUCAUGUCACGAUCUAACUUAUGAGUUAUGAUAGCACUUGCCCUCUCCCGCCAGUAGGUAAAACAAAUCGUAGUCC